UACAGAGGGAGCUAGCGUUGUUCGGAAUUACUGGGCGUAAAGCGCGCGUAGGCGGCUUUGUAAGUUACGAGGUGAAAGCCCGGGGCUCAACCCCGGAACAGCCUUUAAGACUGCAUCGCUAGAAUCCGGGAGAGGUGAGUGGAAUUCCGAGUGUAGAGGUGAAAUUCGUAGAUAUUCGCAAGAACACCAGUGGCGAAGGCGGCUCACUGGCCCGGUACGUGACGCUGAGGUGCGAAAGCGUGGGGA
rnacentral:rRNA from 1 species